UUGCAUUUUUAGUCAAGUGAUUGGAAGAAAGUGCGGUGGGAACUCAUGGGAGACAUUUAUUCUGCCAUGUGGAGCAAGUCUGUGUAUGCCAAGGAUGAAAAUGGCCAGCACCUAAGGAGCAACAGAAUCAAGAUAGCCAUUUACCCACUGUAUAUGCAUCUAUAUCUUUAUCAACAUUGAUCUAUUGUGGGAUCAACAAAUUUCUUGACUAGUCUGAGUUGGAUUCCUGUCACUAGAUACUUAAAGAGACAUAUAUGAAUAUUUCUAGGAAAGCUUGGAGAGAGUUGAGGCUGAAUAGGAUUGGUUGGACUUCAUCCUUUAAGCUAUGGUAUAACAUUAACGUUUUUCGACAUAGAAUGAUACAAUCAGAGAUGUGAUGGAAAAAACAAACAAAACUCUGGUUACUGGGUGAAGAAUGGAGUGAUAUUCAGGCUUUUUUUAUACCUGGAGCUAUACUUCUAGCUUAUAACAUUUCACAAUUAUACUAUGGAGCUUUAUUUGGCAAAUGAUUACUCUAAUGAAGAGAGUUGUAGCCCAAUGAUUUUUUUUUUUCCAGAGGUAAUCACAAUGAUUCUGCAUUUGAUUCUCUUUAAAAGUAAUAAUGAUGAAACUGGAAGCAUAGAGGGUUAAGACUUUACUUAAGAAGGAAUUUUUACUUGCAAGAGUGUUUAGCAUUCCCAUGAGAAACAUUGAACAUUUACACCAUGUUUUGCUGCUCAGCUGAGCUGCUUUGGAAGAAUUUGGGGGGUUCAGGUCCUACUUUGAUACUGCAGUAUACUUCUAACCUAACUCCAUUUCCUCCUCUGUUUUAGUUGCUCUUCUAGAUGGAGCCUCCUAAAAUAGUACUCUGAAAAAGUAUAUCACUUCCCCUACUGAGAGAUUUCAGUGACUCGUGUGUAUUAGGGAAAAUACAAAAUCCUCAGUCUGCCUUUGAGGUUACAGUCUUGUUCUUAAUUGCAGUUGGUGAGGUAGAGGAGCUGGCAAAGGAUUUGGAAUCAAUUUCGAUCCUGAAUGCUAAUCCCGUCACUGACAAGGAAUCUGUUCCUGGAAAACCCACUUAAUCUCUCUGAACCUCAAGUUCUUGUACUGCAAAACGGAGAUUGCCAAAUUGAAUGACCUCUGAGAAGAAACUGGUGAUGAAUUAGAUGAAGAUCACAGCUGGCUGAUGCAUAAUUGCCACUUGAAUAUGAGGGACAUCUAAACAUAUUAAAGCUGCCAGAUGGCGGAUUCUGUACCAUCAGAGCCCCCACGGAAGCCCGAUGUGUGCACUACAUUUCUCUAAGACCUUUUGAGGACACAAAGAAGGAUAAGACAACCUCUCUUCUCUCAGUGAAGUUACAGUUUAAGAAGGAGGGUUGGAAAGACAUACAAAGACCAAAUCACAGGAAAUGAAAGCAAAGUCAUAAACGACUUUAAAGCAGAAACAGCAUUUUACUUUCAAAGAAG